GACGUAGGGGGCAAGCGUUGUUCGGAAUUACUGGGGGUAAAGGGUUCGUAGGCGGUGCGGCAAGUCGGGAGUGAAAUCUCUGGGCUUAACCCAGAGGCUGCUUCCGAAACUGCUGUGCUUGAGUGUGGGAGAGGCGCGUGGAAUUGCAGGUGUAGCGGUGAAAUGCGUAGAUAUCUGCAGGAACACCCGUGGCGAAAGCGGCGCGCUGGACCACUACUGACGCUGAGGAACGAAAGCUAGGGGAGCAAACAGG
rnacentral:rRNA from 1 species